rnacentral:lncRNA from 1 species
CGCAGUGCUGCUGUCCCUGGUGCUGAUAUUUUCAUAGGCACACACCGUGGACCAUGGCAGAAUUUCCAGGAACGCUAGAUGUAUUUGUACUAUUUUUAUGUCUACUGAUUGAAAACUGAACAAAGGAAGGACAAGAAAAUCUUUCAGGAGCACUAAUGACAACCCCAUUUAAAACUAAAUUAAUUCUGUGUGGUCUAAAUGUUAUUAUAGUAAAAUGCGAAAGAACGUAAUUGUGAGGAGAUCCUGCUUCUGAAAAGGAAUCCAUCGAAAGAGUCAAUCAUCCAGGCUCAGCUAUUCGUUAAUCCUACUUGACAUCUGUUACAUCACUCUUCUCAGUUCAUUUAUUCAACACGUGUUUGUGGAGCACCUGUUUAGACAAUGCAGGGGGGACUGGCUGCUUGGAAAGUGGCAACAGAAAUGGAAACUGUGAUCCUUGCUCUGGAGGUCUUUGCUGCUCCAACUGUAGUCUGAAACCCAGCACAUCGAGAGUUUAAUGAAACUCCUCCGUGAUAUGGCUGCCUCAGCAUCAAUUUUGUGCGGCCAAGCGGCCUGCAGGGGCCUUCAACUGACCCUCAUGCAAGCAGAUGACCUGGAUAACAGCCCCCAGGGUCACAAGUAAAUCUGUUCACCAUUUGAAGAGGCCAUCACAAUGCUCAGAAGAUGAUCAAAGAAGCUACUUAAGAAUAACAUGCUGCCUUUUUAAAAAACCAAUGCCCACGCUGAACUCAGAAUGGUAAUGAGCUCAGGCAGGAGCCCAACUGAGACCUCCACGGCCAUCCCACCCAGCUGGGAUAUUUGCAUUUUAUACAAACCAUUUUAUGAUGCUAUAAAUUUCACAUUUUUAUAGUUACAGGUCUUAAUCAUCAUGAAUACCAUUUCUGCACGUAUCUUUGGUAAACGGA